rnacentral:rRNA from 1 species
GAUGAACGCUGGCGGCGUGCUUAACACAUGCAAGUCGAACGGUGAAGCAGAGCUUGCUCUGUGGAUCAGUGGCGAACGGGUGAGUAACACGUGAGCAAUCUGCCCCUGACUCUGGGAUAACAGCUGGAAACAGCUGCUAAUACCGGAUACGAGCUGCGAAGGCAUCUUCAGCAGCUGGAAAGAAUUUCGGUCAGGGAUGAGCUCGCGGCCUAUCAGCUUGUUGGUGAGGUAACGGCUCACCAAGGCGUCGACGGGUAGCCGGCCUGAGAGGGUGACCGGCCACACUGGGACUGAGACACGGCCCAGACUCCUACGGGAGGCAGCAGUGGGGAAUAUUGCACAAUGGGCGAAAGCCUGAUGCAGCAACGCCGCGUGAGGGACGACGGCCUUCGGGUUGUAAACCUCUUUUAGCAGGGAAGAAGCGAAAGUGACGGUACCUGCAGAAAAAGCACCGGCUAACUACGUGCCAGCCGCCGCAGUAAGAC